AGGUGAACUGCAUUGUACUCUUUUAUUCAAAACUUCUUCUCUCUCAUUGUCUGGAAAACAGUUCAGACGAUAGAAGUUGCAAGGACCAUAGUCCAGAUGAAGCAAAGGGAAAGAUUCAGGAGACAUCUAUUCAUUUGCAGAUUGAAAAUCAGGGAGAUGAAAUUAACUGUGAAAAUCCAAAAGGAGAUCAAGCGGAAUCUCUACAAAGGCAUUUUUAGCUUUCCCAAGUGAUGAAAUCUUGAUAAGCAAACGGCCAUUUUCUGCAUAAUAUAAACAAGUAUAAGUAUCUUAUCUAAAACAAUAGAACCUAACAAGAAUUAUUAAAAAAAAAAAAAAGUAAGUAUUUUGCCUAGAUA